AGGCACACCGGGGGCGUUUGUUUCCUCACGCCACACAGCCCCGGCGGGGAACGGGAUUCUGUGGUUGCCGGCCGCCUCCGUGCGCCUUCAGAGUGCGCUUCGGGAAAUCCGUGAAACGUCCCCUUGACCUUCUACAGAAUUUUAUAGAGAAUUUUAAAUCUCUUGUCGUUGAACAGUUUAAUAUCUGCAGAGGGCGGGAUGCGUGUCCUGGGAGAGCAGCACCCUAGGCUGCGCCUGUUCGUAUGGGCUCACUGCACAUCCCCAGCGGCCGCCACGUCAGGCAAGGACACCGAGCGAGGCAGAGGCUGGGACGGCUCAGGCGAGGGGGUCUGGCACCCCUGGGUGGAUGUGGCAUCCUUUGUUGAACCACUACACUCAACCCCAAACAACCCCGUGUAGUACCUGCUCGGUUAGUAACGGGGAUACAGGGUACUCUGCAUGGGGAAAAAAAAAAAAAAAACCACAACAAAACCCCUUCAGCUUUUUGUUUCACGAGGUAUAAUUACACAGAGUUAAGUAAUGCCGGAAUUGUAUGCUGUGAGAAACGUGAGAUGAUUAAUUCAUGUUCUUACGGUAAAUUGGAAAAUUAUAACGCUAUAUAAAUUUAUAUCAGGUAAAAGUCUAUGUUUUAGGAGGUUUCUGCAGCAGAUGGUGAAACUGUCCACCCUGAAAAUCUGGCGUCUCCAUUCAGAAGGGAACAAAAGACUUUGCAGCUUUCUCAAGUAUUGGGAGAGGACCUGUUGAGAUAAGCCUGUAUCAGCAACUCACACCUCGGGAACCACCUUCACAGACCAUCAAGCAAUAUCGCCCAUAUCUCGAACAUUCAUCAGCUAUAAGGAUCCAGAGAAACUGAACAUUAACACAUGGACUUGGGACGGGAGCUCUUUUCAAUCCGACCGGAGACGAAUUUGGGUUUGAAUAGCUAACCAAGAAACAAAGGGAAAUAUGGGGAAAUAUUGCCAGAGGCAGAAUAAAGAGUAUAAAAACCAAGCCUCGAACAUGGCAAAUUCGUGUACCCAGCUAGAGACACAGACGGCCAGGGUCUGUGUCUAAGGGUCACCCUUGGCUCUUUUUCCCGGGAGAAACUCUGUCAAGCACCACCCCAGAAGCUCACAUUCAGAAAUAGACAAAAGGUUUACGGGGAAAACCGGCAGGCUCCUUAAGCACUGGGAAGAGACCCAUCAAGAUAAGCGGCAGGACCAUCAACAUCACCAGCCGACACCCUCACCGAGCAUCAAGCAUCAUCAUCCAUAUCUCAGACCAUUAAUCAGCCAGGAAAUCUGCCGACACCUUACCGGAGAGAGGGGACUUCAGCUGAGCCGGAGACACCCAUGAAUUUGAAUAGCUAGCUUGGACGCAAAGGGGAAAAUGAGGAAAUAUUGCCAAGGGCAGAAUAAAGUUUUUAAAACCAAGCCCCGAACCGGGCAAAUUUGUGAACCUAGGGGGAGACAGCAACGGCCAUGUUGUGUCUCACAGUUCACCCUUGGCAGUUUCCCGGGAAAAAGACUGUCAAGUAUCUCCGCUGUUGGUGGGUUUACCAAAAUUCUGUAAUUCGAUCUUUUGAUUAAUAAACCAAAUUAUUUUAAUUGGAAUAUUGUAUUGGCAUUUAUAACAAAAAUAACAAGGAUCGUUGUGGGAUUGCAUUUUAUUGAAAUGGCUCACCCCUGGAAAAUGUAUGGUUUAUCCCCAGUCUGUACCCUCCCUGCAGUAUCGUGUGUCUGUAACUCUAUUGGCUGGAGAAUGUUACCGCGCCCACCUUGAACCUCGGUGUUAAGGGUGCAAACGCAGAGGGCUCCUCCUCUUUUGCCCUGGUGGUCUCCGGAGACUGCUCUCUCCCCUUCCCUCUCGCCUUCUCCCUCAGUGAAUAAACCCUCAUCCCAUCAAUAAACCCUCAUCCCAUCAGCACCUCAGCAGCCGUCUGGAGUCUCUUUGCCUGCCAGCAUGCGAACAGCCACGACCCUAGGACCCGGCUGGCUCCCGGGGAACCCUCCCCGAGAUCCCCCCCAAAAUUUAAACUACAACAGAUCGUAUCUCAAAGCACUACACUUUUCUUCCCUCUCCAAGUAAGGCAUGUGAGAGAGGGUGCAGUCAUUAACAUUCCCUGUGAAUGUAAUCCAACCAGCCAUGCUCAUUGUUCUAUUUGCAGGUGUUACUUGACCUACACUGUCGUGGCCUUUCCUUCCCUCAGAGAUUUCUAUUAAAAAAAGACAAGACUUGCAUUCUUCAAGGUUUGAUAUUCAUAAUUAAUCCCUGAAAGAUUCUAAGGACCCUCCAAGGAUCUCCAGUGUUAUCAACAUGACAUCCAGACAUAUGAGCAUGAGUGAAGGAAGAGUUUACAAAUUUGACCAAUAUUUUAAACUCUUGUGUUUUAAGCUCCACGGGCACACUGUCCCAUGUAUUUACUGCUAAAGGCUCUCAGAGAACCCACUUAAUUGCAACAAAAACCAGACAGCAAUUCUCACCCUGGUGCACGUCACUGAGACUGAAGAUACAUUGGCAGCUAUAGCCAGUAAAUUAAAAAAAAAAAAAAGGUAAGGCACUGAAAAAUAUUACAAGGUAAAGACAGAAAAAUACUUCUUUUUUAAUUUUAAGCACAGCCCAAAAAGCAGCCUUUCCCAUUUGGAAAAAACAGGAAUUAUGAAUGAAGCAGAAUACAUUUGCACUUCAAGUGACAAACACAGUUUAAAAAUCAAAAUAUUUUAAUAACCAGUAAUUAUGAGACAUCCCUUUGCUCAUUUACUCUAUCUUGGACUAGCAGCUACACUACAGCUGAAAGCCAGUUUAACAUGUUCUGCAAGUUUUCAAGGGUAAUUACCCUUAUUCUGUAACUCCAGCAACAUGAAUACAACACUGUAAACAAAAUCUUAAAAGGUACUAUUUGAAAGCCAUGUUCUGCCAGGCUGGUACUAUACAAAUAAAUUAUUAUAUGGAGUUAUAGAGAGCUAGCACACUGGAAAUGCUGCCUCAUUCCACAGUUUAUCCCGACUUACACAUUUAAACUCUUAGGUUACACAAGUAAUUACAUACAACCAGUCAUGUAAUUAUGUGAUAAAUUAAUAGUUUUGUUUUAAGUUGACUGUAGAUUAAGCUAUUGGACCAUGCAUUUUUGUAAUAAAUAUGCAAUUUCAGAAAUACAACUAAUUUAAAACUGCAUUUACACUUAAUGAUGUCUUUUCAUCCAGAUUAAAAAAAAUAAAUGUAUGCUCAAGAAAACCAAAUCUCUUAUUAAAUGGUUGGCAGAAUUUAUUAGGUCUUUUUUAAUAUAUUCCAUACUUUAUCAAGCUAGUUGCAUAUAAAGUGAUCUCCACCAUAUACAUUAUGGUUUCUGUGCAUCAUCUAAAAAAAAAAGUCACCAAAAAGUAGUAUUUUACAGGUUGCAGUUAACUUUUAAUUAACCUAAAGGUGAAUCCUUCUGUAAGUUAAAACACUAACCUGCACAUUGCAUCUAACUGCAAUAUUUAAAUUGUUUCACAGCAAGCUAAACCUGCAUUUGAGGGAAAAAUGUCACUGCCAUCUCAGCUUCUGAACUUCUAUAGUUUACAUUCUUAACACCGCAAAAAAUUCAUGUGGUGUUCACUCCAAAUAAGCAAAAAGUAAAGAAUUCCCUUAAAAGAAAGCCUGUUCAGAAUACGUGUGCUUUAAAAAAAUUAGGACAUUCCUCCAGUAAAAGGAAUUCACCCCAGUAAAAGGAAGUCAC